CAGCUCUUACGGGUUCUGCUAAGGAGAAGAAACUGCUUGUUGACAGUUUCUUCUCAUUGUCCCAGCCCAUUCGCAAAAAGUGGCCAAGGCACUGAGGAAAGGCUGCCAGCAAGCAAUCGCCUUUCCUCAACCCCCGCCCCCCUUUUGAAAUGCUUCAGGAGUAAGGGUAAGUGGCAUCCUUAGCCUCGCCUCAGGCACAUAAAUAUCAGGGAGCAAAUGGAACCUAACAAUUCACAGCAUGCACCUUGAUGAUGUAAUUAUAGCAUGCCUAAAAUGUAAAAAUAUGGUUUUAUAAAAGAAGCAGAUUCUCUCACAGCAUGGCUACUUACAGAAUAUUUCCUUCUUAAAGAGUAUAAUGAUGACAACCAAUGGGAUCCUCAGUUGUUAAGUAGUUAUAGCAACUGAGUCCCACAUAGCUGAUAAUCCACUUGGAUAAAUCUUAACAGAGAGAGACUCUGCGCUUAAAGGUUCCUUUUAUAAUCCAAGUAAUUCAGCCAGUGCCCAAAGCAUUCUUUUUAUUCGAUAGUAUGCAGACUUCUGAUGCUUCCUAAAAUAAAUGUCUCAGUGAAGCAUGUUUCACUAACAAGCGCUCGAUAUGCACAGCCAUCACUUUCAAAGAGCAACUUGUUUCAAAAAGCUGUGAUCAAUAGCUUCAUAUGAAUGAGAGAAUCAUGACAGGAUGUUAUCAGCAUUGACAGGAAAUCUGUGCCGUUGGUUCUUUCUUAUGAUAAAAUUAUUUGUGAUGAAGCAAUGCCACCAGUGACUGCAGCUUUGGGCUGAGAUCACUUGUAAUCACAAAAGACAUCUGGAUCAUAUUUACCAAUAGAGACAACAGCCACUGGGUAUAAAUGAUCAUUUUUUGAAAUGUAAGGAUUGUUGUAUCUAGACUCCUUUCAUAGUAUAUCAACCAAGCAUGUUUCCGAACUGGAGAAUAUUUCACAGAAGAGUGGUACUACUGAGCAACGAUACCAUUGGAGACAGAUUGGAUACUGUAGAACUCUUCUGACACUGCUGACAUCAAUUCAAAAGAGAUGUAAUAUGGAAUGUAUGCAGAGGCCUUUCCUGUAGCCACUCUGCAGGCACGACUUCCUACAGUAUAAUUUAUAGAACUGAGAUAAACAAGCACAAAAUAAAUGCCUAAUCAAAGAGGGGAUGAACACAUUCAUUUUUGAGCAUGUAUAUCUCUCAUAUUGACAAAAGAUAGAAAUUCAUCAAAAGCAGUGUAUUAAAAUUAAUUUAAUUUAAAAUUAAAAUUAAACUGUUGCUGCUGCCGCCGCCGCUGCCACUGCUUCUAUUACUACUACUGCUACUAUUACUACAUAGAUAAUAUUUUGUAUGGCAUAAUAAAUACAUAUGGUAUUUUGCAGAGUGUGGUGAGCAAAAAAGACAGCUUUGUCCCAACAAGCUUGCAUUGUUUUCACAGUGAGAAAGACAAAAGACAAGAUGAGAUGGUAUGUGGUGAUAUAGAGCUGAAAUAAAUAAAUAAAGUAUGUGCCUCAAGCAUUAACAAUGGCCAAGGGAGAUGGAAGCUGAUGUUUGAACUAGUUAUAUUGUUAAACUGGAAUUAAAGAUGAAUGCAACUUUC